ACAAGGGAAGCAAGUUGUUGGAGAAAAUCGCUUCACCGGCUGCCCCCACCUCCCAGCUUUGGUCAGCGAGGCCGCUAUCAAAUAUGGACAUUGCCAAACCUCGUUCUAUCUCUGCGUACCAAGGAGGAUACAGGAGAGAGGAGAGAGGGGAAGGAGGUGGAAAUGCAUUAAAACAAAAAAGAGAGAAUGAAGCAGUGUAAGGUUGGUCACACAUUUGUCAUUAAGUCAAAGCUGAAUGCCAGUGUUUGCGUGAGGUGGAAUUAUCUCAUUCUUUUAGCCUGUGAGUCUCUGUGAUCCACCAGUCAAGUAUGUGAUUGGAUUCUGCCUCAACAAAACCUUAAAUUACACACCUAUUGUGCCCGAGCUAAGCCCAGUUUCACAGCGGUGAAGAAGGCAUCUCCCAGCUUCCUCAGCAGUGUUCGAUCCAGCGCCUGCUCUCAUCUGCUGGUUGAUGAAUGAGUAAUAGGAUUAGAGAGUCUCAUCU
rnacentral:lncRNA from 1 species